rnacentral:lncRNA from 1 species
UUUGCAUUCCGCGCUAUGAAAUAUGGUAACAUUCAUCAUGUCAUCCCCUUAGAGGUUAUUUUAAUUUUUAUUACUCGUUAUUUGAAUUCGAAUAUACUUGUUAUUUGAAUACCUUGCAACUGCCAACUGUUCUAGUGAAUACAAGAAAAAGGUUUAUCAAACAGGAGGCUUUCCAGCAAUUGUGUAGCUAAUAUCCCGAUGGAGUCUUUGAUGAUGCGGGGAAGAGAACAAGGAUGCAGCAAGCACUGAGUGAGAGGUGGAAAACGGAUGUUACACUCCUUUUCUUAUCUCUCAGUGUAAGAGGGAUAGUGUUGUAUACGACCAUCGUUGUGAAAAAAAAAACCCAUUUUUAAGCCAAAGUAAGGCCAAUCCGUACACUUGAUUGGGAGUUGCCAACCCCCGGCCUUUCUAAAACUAUCUCAGUCACAUCAAGAAAUGUGAUGGUUUUGUGAAAGAAAAGAAGAUUCCUCUAUAUCGGCGGCAUCUUACAAUAUUAUUACGUAUAUAAAUGUUGAAUACACAGAUAAUGCCCUUA